rnacentral:lncRNA from 1 species
UUAAGUGCCCAGUCUGGCCAUGAACUUGAGAUCCUUUUGUGAAUAGCUGAGAUAACAGGCAUGCACUGCCAUGCCCAGUGCAAAUGAUCCAAGUUUAUGCAAGUAAUUUAAGCUUCCAAAUUCAGAAACUAGAAAAGAAAAGCAACAUAUUAAAUUCAAAGCAGAAUAAAUAAGAAAUAAAAAUUAGUGAAAGAAAAUCAACAAGCCAAAAGUUGAAUUUUUUUUUGGAAAAGAUUAAUAGAAUUCAUAGGCCUCUAGUCAAGUUAAUGAAGACACAAAUUACUAAUAUGAGACAUGAAAGAGGUACCAUCAUUACUGAUCCAUGAAGAUUAAAAGGGUUAUAAAGGAAUCUUAAGGACAACGUAGGCCAUAAAUUUGAUAACUAAACUGAAAUUGACCAAUUAUUUUAAAAAUAUAUUCUGUCAAAAUUCACACAAGGAUAAACCUGAAUAAGCAAAUUAAACAGAAAAUACAAAGAGCAGAUGAGUUCAGUGGUGGAUUUUGCCACACUUUAUGUAGAAAUUAUACCAGUUCUCUAUAAUCUCUUUCCAAAAGUAAAAGCAGAGGGAGCAUUUUCAUGAGGCUAGCAUUACUGUAAUACCAAAGUUAGGUGAAGACAUAUCAAGAAAGGAAAACCAUAGACCAAUAUCUUUCAUGAUCAUAAAUGUAGAAAUUCUCAACAAAUAUUAGCAAAUCAAAUUGAACAGUGUAUUUAAAGAAUUAUACAUCAUGACCAACUGCAUUUUUUUCAACUAUGCAAACUGACUCAAAAUUUGAUAAUGAAUGUAACCUAAUUAGAGAUUAGGGAUGAAAUUUGAUCAUAGCAAUAGGUGUAGAAAAAGCAUUUGAUGAAAUCUAAUAUUUGUUAUGAUAAAACACAGCAAAGUAAGAAUACAGGGAAUUUCAACUUGGUCAAGAAGUACUUUGUGUUAAAACUAGAUACUUUUCUGCUAAGAUGAGGACAAAGCAAGGAUGUCUCUCACCACAGAUUUUCAAAAUCUGUCUGAACAUCCUAAGACAGGAAGGUAAGUUCUAAUGCAAGAAGAUAAAAGAUACACAGAUUUGGAAAGAAGUAAAAAAAUGACUUUGUUUUCAGAUAACAAGAUUCUCUUAAAAAAUCCAAAGACACAACAACCAAAACCUCCCAAUGCUUAUUAGCAAUUAUAGCAAGGAUAUGAUGCUCAUGUAGACAAAGAAAAAAAGUAUGAUCUUGCCCAUGUCCCAUGCAGGCAGUGGAAUUUGGGUUUCCUCUGCCUGUAACAGGCUGGCUGUGAAAUAAAGCUAAGAAAGAGAAAUAUGGCAAAGAAACCACAAGACACAGGUAGUAAUUUUAGAAAGCAGGGAUGAGACAACUCUUCAGCAUUAGGGUUCAAGCUUCCAUGCUGGAAGGAGGGUGUGAGAGCCCAUGUUUGCUUUAUUUAUGUUGGGGAAAUUGAAAGGUUUUCCAUGGAAUGUUCUUUGCCAGAUAAGGUGGGGAGUGGGCUGUCUAGUUCUCAAUGGGUUAUGCCCAACUCCAGAGCUACUAGAGUUGUCCCACUAGUAGAGCAAGGGGCGAGAUCUCACAUCUUGGGCAGUCUACACACAGGAAUGCUGGGAUUGUUCCCAAGGAGAGACCUAAGUCCCCCAUGGCUCAGUACCAGUAAAAGACCACUUAAUUAGCUUAACUGGUGAAGUAUGAAGCUCCAAAAGACAGGAAGUAACUUUAAAAGCAUAUUUUUAUUUGAAGAAAGCCAAUCUGAAAAGAUUUUGUACCAUAGGAUUCUAUGGAUAUGACUUUCUGGAAAGGGAAACUAUAUAGAAAGUAAAAAUAUGAAUGGUUACCAGGGAUUCAAAGGGAAGGAGAAAGGAACAAAUGGAUGGUGGUGAUUUUUAAGGCAGAGAAAGUAUUCUGUAGGGUACUAUAAUUGUAGAUUCAUGUCAUUAUACACUUGUCUGUACCUAUGAAUGCAAACCACAAAGAAUGAACUUUAAAGGAAACUAUUGGCUUUAGUUAAGAAUAAUGUAUCAAUAUUGAUUCAUUAGUCAUUACAAAUUACCACACUAAUGCACGAUGAUAGGAUGGACCAGUGAAGGGUUAUGUGAGAAGUUCUCUGUAUUUUUGCUCAAUUUUUCCUGUAACUGUACAAAUGCUCUAAAAAAUAUAGUAUAAUAAGUGAAUAAAUAAUAAUAACCAGCCAACCAAUCCUGCCUGUGUAUAUAGUGUGGUAGUUGAGUCUAUG